AUUGAACGCUGGCGGCAGGCUUAACACAUGCAAGUCGAGCGGGGGAAGGUAGCUUGCUACCGGACCUAGCGGCGGACGGGUGAGUAAUGCUUAGGAAUCUGCCUAUUAGUGGGGGACAACAUCUCGAAAGGGAUGCUAAUACCGCAUACGUCCUACGGGAGAAAGCAGGGGAUCUUCGGACCUUGCGCUAAUAGAUGAGCCUAAGUCGGAUUAGCUAGUUGGUGGGGUAAAGGCCUACCAAGGCGACGAUCUGUAGCGGGCCUGAGAGGAUGAUCCGCCACACUCGGACUGGGACACGGCCCAGACUCAUACGGGAGGCAGGAGUGGGGAAUAUUGGAGAAUGGGGGGAACCCUGAUCCAGCCAUGCCGCGUGUGUGAAGAAGGCCUUAUGGUUGUAAAGCACUUUAAGCGAGGAGGAGGCUACUUUAGUUAAUACCCAAGAUGAGUGGACGUUACUCGCAGAAUAAGCACCGGCUAACUCUGUGCCAGCAGCCGCGGUAA
rnacentral:rRNA from 1 species